CUCUCCCAAGCGUUUAGUCCAGCGCUCUGCGCACGUCGGAACCGUCAGUCAGCAGGUUAUAAGAGAAAGUAGUACAGCCUGCUCGGCUCGUUGAGGAAAUGCGGCGUUGAAGAAGGCUUCUGACCUUCAGAGAGGCAGCGGGAAGAAUCAGUGUUUUGACACAAGAAGCUCGAAAAGUAGCGCGCUGACGUCACGUGGUGCUUUGAACAUCAGACACCUGCUCCGCCACCCACUAAACCUAGGAAACAUCUGACCGAAGCCAGCCUACAAGCCGUCCCUCAGAAUGCACGAAAAGGAGCAUAAGAUAGUCGAGCAUUUUAGCUGGCAAAACUACUUGUCUUGCUACCUCUUAGCUACCGCGGCAUUUAAAAGCAAAAACCUAGGCGAAGAAAACGGGAGAUUUCUUUUUUGGGCGGCAUUUCUGACUGGCUUAUCACUGAGCGUCUCGGCACUUAGACUGUACUCUUGGGAUGCUCUUCCGGCCUAGAAGAAAUUAUCGUUGCACUCGUG